rnacentral:rRNA from 1 species
UACGUAGGUGGCAAGCGUUGUCCGGAUUUACUGGGCGUACAGAGCGCGCAGGCGGUCGUCCAAGUCGCGUGUGAAAGCCCCCGGCUCAACUGGGGAGGGUCACGCGAUACUGGUCGACUCGAAGGCAGGAGAGGGUAGUGGAAUUCCCGGUGUAGUGGUGAAAUGCGUAGAUAUCGGGAGGAACACCAGUGGCGAAGGCGACUACCUGGCCUGUUCUUGACGCUGAGGCGCGAAAGCUAGGGGAGCAAACGGG